CAUUUGGGUAUAUACUAGCUGUGUUUGUGCCUUCACUCAUGGUCCAGACUUUUUUCAAAAAGGACAUGGAGUUUGUCUGCAGCGAGCGUUUUGGUAGAAACUGCGCCUCCCAUUCAUUAUAAUGGUAAAUGACCACAGACAAGUGCGCACACCAUCUUUGGACCUUUAGUGUGACGCGAUCGGGAGGGGUAGGUGGUCGCGCUGGGAGCGGCGCGACACGGCUCGGGCCCGCCAGUGCCCCAACGGGGCCCUAGUCUUCUUUUUCCUCCCCUUUGAACUGGAAAAAAACUCACUUCCCACUGGCGAAAACUCAUGAAAUUUGGCAGGACGACCGGGCCUGGUGAAAAAUUCGAUAUGCUGAAGUCGCCGAAACAAUAAAAUGCAAAAUGGCUCCAUAGCGCCCCCUAAGGUGAAAAUUCACACUAUUGACUGUCACGCCUGUAUGCUUUGUCAUAUUGACACAAAAAUUGACACACACAUGUAUCGCAAUAAGAUCUACAAAAAAGUCAGUGCGGGCGUAUCUGUCAAAUGUAUGGUUAAAGGGUUAUUCCGCAUUUUUUGCCGAUCCGCACACAUUGGAAUUUCGCUAACUCCUCCAAAGGCUUUCGUUCCACCAGCACCACAUUUGCUCAGGCCAAUCUACACCCCAUGGCCAUUAAAAGUUGUACAAAUCAUGACGCUGCACCCCACGGUUUAGGUUCUAGGGGGCGCCAAAGAUAACCCAAAAAUCCACAUUCUUAAAACUCUUAUAACUUUUUAGGGCCCGAGCCAGCUGCAGAGCAGCCGGGCGUAGAGCCCUAUUAUUCCUGUAUAGGUUUUUUAGGGCCCGAGCGUAGCUGCUAAGCAGCUGCGAGAGCCCUCUUGUUCCUGAUGGAUUCUUCUUUCGUUAUUUUUCCUCCGCUUUAAACUGGAAAAUGGCCCACUUCCCACUGGCGAAAACUCAGGAAAUUUGGCAGGACGACCGGGCCUGGUGAAAAAUUUGAUAUUCUGAAGUCGCCCAAACAAAAAAAUGAAAAAUGGCUCCAUAGCGCCCCCUAUGGUGAAAACUCACCUGACACCUGUACGCUUUGUCAAAAUGACACAAAAUUUGACACACAUGUGUAUCUCAAUAAGAUCUACAAAAAAGUCAGUGCGGGCGUAUCUGUCAAAUGUACGGUUAAAGGGCUAUUUCGCAUUUUUUGCCGAUCCGCACACAUUGGAAUUUCGCUAACUCCUCCGAAGGCUUUCGUUCCACCGGCACCAAAUUUGCUCAGGCCAAUCUACACCCCAUGGCCAUUAAAAGUUGUACAAAUCAUGACGCUGCACCCCACGGUUUAUGUUCUAGGGGGUGCCAAAGAUAACCCAAAAAUCCACAUUCUUAAAAGUCUUAUAACUUUUUAUUGUUGUCCUCACUGGCCUCCAAGUUUUCUAGGAUGAUGCUAUGUCCAGCCAUCAACACAUGUGUGAAGGAAUUUUUACUCCCUAAAAGAGCGCCCCCCCAUGGCAGGAGAAAAAAGUCAAGUUUUUCUUGUCCCCUAACAUGAAAAUACACAUUGUUGAGUGUCACGCCUAAACGCUUUGUCAUAUUGACACAAAAAUUGACACACACGUGUAUCUCAAUAAGAUCUACGAAAAAGUCAAAGAGCGCGUAUCUGUAUAAUGUACGGUUAAAGGUUUAUUUCGCAUUUUUUGCCGAUCCGCACACAUUGGAAUUUCGCUAACUCCUCCGAAGGCUUUCGUUCCACCGGCACCAAAUUUGCUCAGGCCAAUCUACACCCCAUGGCCAUUAAAAGUUGUAAAAAUCAUGACGCUGCACCCCACGGUUUAGGUUCUAGGGGGCGCCAAAGAUAACCCUAAAAUCCACAUAUUUAAAAGUCUUAUAACUUUUUAUUUUUGUCCUCACUGGCCUCCAAGUUUUCUAGGAUGAUGCAAUGUCCAGCCAUCAACACAUUUGUGAAGGAAUUUUUACUCCCCAAAAGAGCGCCCCCCCCAUGGCAGGAGAAAAAAGUCAAUUUUUUCUUGUCCCCUAAGGUGAAAAUACACAUUGUUGAGUGUCACGCCUGAACUCUUUGUCAUAUUGACACAAAAAUUGACAAUCAUGUGUAUCUCAAUUAGAUCUACGAAAAAGUCAAAGAGCGCGUAUCUGUAUAAUGUACGGUAAAAGGGCUAUUUUGCAUUUUUUGCCGAUUCGCACACAUUGGAAUUUCGCUAACUCCGAAGGCUUUCGUCCCACUGACACCAUAGUUGCUCAGGCCAAUCUACAACCCAUGGCCAUUCAAAGUUGUACAAAUCAUGACGCUGCACCCCACGGUUUAGGUUCUAGGGGGCGCCAAAGAUAACCCAAAAAUCCACAGUCUUAAAAGUCUUAUAACUUUUUAUUUUUGUCCUCACUGGCCUCCAAGUUCUCUAGGAUGAUGCAAUGUCCAGCCAUCAACACAUUUGUGAAGGAAUUUUUACUCCCCAAAAGAGCGCCCCCCCAUGGCAGGAGAAAAAAGUCCAUUUUUUCUUGUCCCCCAAGGCGAAAAUACACAUUGUUUAAUGUCACGCCUGUACGCUUUGUCAUAUUGACACAAAAUUUGACAAUCACGUGCAUCUCAAUAAGAUCUACGAAAAAGUCAAUGCGCGCGUAUCUGUAAAAUGUACGGUUAAAGGGCUUUUUCGCAUUUUUUGCAGAUUCGCACACAUUGGAAUGUGGCUUAGUCCUCCUAAGGCUUUCGUCCCACUGACACCAAAUUUGCUCAGGCCAAUCUACACCCCAUGGCCAUUCAAAGUUGUAAAAAUCAUGACGCUGCACCCCACGGUCUACGUUCUAGGGGGCGCCAAAGAGGACCCAAACUUCCACAUUUUUAAAAGUCUUAUAACUUUUUAUUUUUGUGCUCACUGGCCUCCAAGUUUUCUAGGAUGAUGCAAUGUCCAGCCAUCAACACAUUUGUGAAGGAAUUUUUACUCCCCAAAAGAGCGCCCCCCCAUGGCAGGAGAAAAAGUCAAGUUUUUCCUGCCCAUCGCUCAAUGGCUCAAAUGUAUCGCUCUCUCGGCAAAACCGAAAGGAGGAGCAACUUGCCAUUUGGAUAUAUACUAGCUGUGUUUGUGCCCUCACUCAUGGUCCAGACUUUUUUCAAAAAGGACAUGGAGUUUGUCUGCAGCGAGCGUUUUGGUAGAAACUGCGCCUCCCAUUCAUUAUAAUGGUAAAUGACCACAGACAAGUGCGCACACCAUCUUUGGACCUUGAGUGUGACGCGAUCGGGAGGGGUAGGCGGUCGCACUGGGGGCGGCGCGACACGGCUCGGGCCCGCCAGUGCCCCACCGGGGCCCUAGUCUUUCUUCUUUCUUUCUUUCUUUCUUUCUUCUUAUUUUUCCUCCCCUUUGAAGGGGAAAAUGGCCCACUUCCCACUGGCGAAAACUCAUGAAAUUUGGCAGGACGACCGGGCCUGGUGAAAAAUUCGAUAUUCUGAAGUCGCCCAAACAAUAAAAUGCAAAAUGGCUCCAUAGCGCCCCCUAAGGUGAAAAUUCACACUAUUGACUGUCACGCCUGUACGCUUUGUCAUAUUGACACAAAAAUUGACACACACGUGUAUCUCAAUACGGUCUACGAAAAAGUCAGCGCGGGCGCAUCUGUGAAAUGUACGGUUAGAGGGUUAUUUCGCAUUUUUUGCCGAUCUGCACACAUUGGAAUUUCGCUAACUCCUCCGAAGGCAUUCGUUCCACCGGCACCACAUUUGCUCAGGCCAAUCUACACCCCAUGGCCAUUGAAAGUUGUACAAAUCAUGACGCUGCACCCCACGGUUUACGUUCUAGGGGGCGCCAAAGAUAACCCAAAAAUCCACAGUCUUAAAAGUCUUAUAACUUUUUAUUUUUGUCCUCACUGGCCUCCAAGUUCUCUAGGAUGAUGCAAUGUCCAGCCAUCAACACAUUUGUGAAGGAAUUUUUACUCCCCAAAAGAGCGCCCCCACAUGGCAGGAGAAAAAAGUCCAAUUUUUCUUGUCCCCUAAGGUGAAAAUACACAUUGUUGAGUGUCACGCCUAUACGCUUUGUUAUAUUGACCCAAAAUUUGACAAUCACGUGUAUCUCAAUAAGAUCUACGAAAAAGUCAAUGGGCACGUAUCUGUAAAAUGUACGGUUAAAGGGUUAUUUCGCAUUUUUUGCCGAUCCGCAGACAUUGGAAUUUCGCUUACUCCUCCGAAGGCUUUAGUUCCACCGCCACCAAAUUUGCUCAGGCCAAUCUACACCCCAUGGCCAUUAAAAGUUGUACAAAUCAUGACGCUGCACUCCACGGUUUAGGUUCUAGGGGGCGCCAAAGAUAACCCAAAAAUCCACAUUCUUAAUAGUCUUAUAACUUUUUAUUUUUGUCCUCACUGGCCUCCAAGUUUUCUAGGAUGAUGCAAUGUCCAGCCAUCAACACAUUUGUAAAGGAAUUUUUACUCCCGAAAAGAGCGCCCCCCCAUGGCAGGAGAAAAAAGUCCAUUUUUUCUUGUCCCCUAAGGUGAAAAAACACAUUGUUGACUGUCACGCCUAUACGCUUUGUCAAAAUGACACAAAAUUUGACACACACGUGUAUCUCAAUAAGAUCUACGAAAAAGUCAAUGGGCACGUAUCUGUAAAAUUUACGGUUAAAGGGCUAUUUCGCAUUUUUUGCCGAUUCGCACACAUUGGAAUGUGGCUAACUCCUCCUAAGGCUUUCUUCCCACCGACACCAAAUUUGCUCAAGCCGAUCUACAUCCCA
rnacentral:lncRNA from 1 species